rnacentral:rRNA from 1 species
AGUGAACGCUGGCGGUAGGCCUAACACAUGCAAGUCGAACGGCAGCACAGUAAGAGCUUGCUCUUACGGGUGGCGAGUGGCGGACGGGUGAGGAAUACAUCGGAAUCUACUUUUUCGUGGGGGAUAACGUAGGGAAACUUACGCUAAUACCGCAUACGACCUACGGGUGAAAGCAGGGGAUCUUCGGACCUUGCGCGAUUGAAUGAGCCGAUGUCGGAUUAGCUAGUUGGCGGGGUAAAGGCCCACCAAGGCGGCGAUCCGUAGCUGGUCUGAGAGGAUGAUCAGCCACACUGGAACUGAGACACGGUUCAGACUCCUACGGGAGGCAGCAGUGGGGAAUAUUGGACAAUGGGCGCAAGCCUGAUCCAGCCAUACCGCGUGGGUGAAGAAGGCCUUCGGGUUGUAAAGCCCUUUUGUUGGGAAAGAAAAGCAGCAGGUUAAUACCCCGCUGUUCUGACGGUACCCAAAGAAUAAGCACCGGCUAACUUCGUG